AUACGUAGGGGGCGAGCGUUGUCCGGAAUGAUUGGGCGUAAAGGGCGCGUAGGCGGCUUUGCAAGUCAGUAGUGGAAGUCCAUUUUUCAAGGAUGGAAGUGCUACAGAAACUGCGGAGCUUGAGUGCAGGAGAGGUUAUCGGAAUUCCCGGUGUAGCGGUGACAUGCGUAGAUAUCAGGAGGAACACCGGUGGCGAAGGCGGCUCGCUGGGCUUUUACUGACGCUGAGGCUCGAAAGCGUGGGUAGCAAACAGGAUUAGAUACCCUGGUAGUCCACGCUGUAAACGAUGAUUGCUAGGUGUAGGAGGUAUCGACCCCUUCUGUGCCGCAGUAAACACAGUAAGCAUUCCGCCUGGGGAGUACGGUCGCAAGAUUAAAACUCAAAGGAAUUGACGGGG
rnacentral:rRNA from 1 species